UACGGAGGGGGCUAGCGUUGUUCGGAAUUACUGGGCGUAAAGCGCACGUAGGCGGCUUUGUAAGUUAGAGGUGAAAGCCCAGGGCUUAACCCUGGAAUUGCCUUUAAGACUGCAUCGCUAGAAUCGUGGAGAGGUGAGUGGAAUUCCGAGUGUAGAGGUGAGAUUCGUAGAUAUUCGGAAGAACACCAGUGGCGAAGGCGACUCACUGGACACGUAUUGACGCUGAGGUGCGAAAGCGUGGGGAGCAAACAGG
rnacentral:rRNA from 1 species